CCAGGGACAGGUACUCCACCCAGCUCUUCUUGUCCUCGUAGUUCUUGGACUCAUCCACGAUCUUCUGAAACAUCGCUCUCUUCCUGAACCCAGGGAACAAGGGAGGUGCAGCCUCGGCCCUGGGCCUUCUCUGCCGCCCUCCCCCAGUGCUCACCCGCCCAGUGCUCACCCGCCCAGUGCUCACCCGCUGCAUCAGAACCCUGCUCUGCAGGAUACGGCCCUGCUGUCCUGCGGACGCUGCGUCCCCAGCCCCCACAGCAGAAACCGAGAGUGAGGAUACCAACCUCCUCCGCGAGCAGGAACUUCCCAAACUCCAGGUGGUGCCGCUCCAAAAUCGAGGAGCCGUGGAGCUUAGCCAAGGGGUUCUGGGACCUGUUACACAGGUGGUGGGGGUGAGGCCCGUGGGACCUGCCCUCGGCCCACCCUGCGCUCUGCAGCCUCUCCAGAUGGGCUCCACUUUCUUUCUUUCUUUUUGAGACAGGAUCUGGCUCUGUCACCCAGGCUGGAGUGCAGCGGUGCAGUCAUGGCUGGACACAGCCUAGACCUCCUGGGCUCACGUGAUCCUCCCACCUCAGCCUCCUAAGUAGCUGGGACCACAGGCGUGCGCCACCAUACACAGCUGGUUUUUUUUUUUUUAAGUUUUUGUAGAGAUCUUGCCAUGUUGCCCAGGCUGGUCUCGAACUCCUGGGCUCAAGCAAUCCGCUCGCCUUGGCCUCCCACAGUGCUGGAGUACGGGCCCUGGCCGUGGACCCCACUUUCUACAUAGCCUGCUAUGCGGAGCCUGAUUCACGCCAAGCGCGUGGCGUUGAUUUAGGGCUAAUUCACAUGCCCGCCCUGUGGUGCCUACUUCAUCUGGUACAGGUUGUUGGUGCCGCGGUGGUCGAUGUCGUGGCACAGGCCGGCUGUCACCAUGGCGAAGGCCUCCAGCCACGCACCAUGAGCAGCGUGAACAUCGUCUGGGCCACAUUGAAGCCGUGACGCCAGUUGUGGUAGGUGAUUCUCCGGUACCCUUUGCUGAUGGAGAACAGGAACCGCACCAGGACCUAGGGGAGCCGAGAGGACACAGGGCUCUGGCGGCAAAUGUGUUAAGUCCCGCCGGAGCGGCACAUGUGGCUGACUUCACCGUGGAAGCCCUGCUCCGUGCCAUCGUCCCCAUACCCUGUCUCCUGGACUCCCUGACCUUCCCCAUCCUGGCGUUUCCCACUGGCCUCCGCUGGCCUUCCUGGGUAGGGGCUGCCACACUGGCACCUAUGGGGUGGAGCCAGGCAGGGCAGGAACUGAGAACAGCCCCAGGCUUCAGGGGCCGCCCAUCCUCCAUCCGACUGCCUGGCCUCAAGCUGGGAGGAGGACCCCUGGGGAUGCGGCUUAUUUUAAGAUGUCGGUUUUAGGCAUGGACAUUUGAAUGGGCAGAAUGUGUGGGCUGCAGGCUGGGGUGGGAGAGCCGAUGUCUGCAGGGCAAGAGAAUGCUGGUCACCAGGAGGCUCUUCCUGCGGCCACUGUGAUUUUUAGGGUCAGAAAAUUAUUUGGAAAUAUUUUUUAUUCUGCAAAUAUUUUCUAUACAUUUUUCCUUGAGUGUUUUCCCUUAGUAUUUAGUAAAACUUUUUUUGGAAAUGCU